rnacentral:rRNA from 1 species
CGAGGACGAACGCUGGCGGCGUGCCUAAUACAUGCAAGUCGAACGGUCUUUUCUAUGGAAGCUUGCUUCCACUGAGAAGAUAGUGGCGAACGGGUGAGUAACACGUGGGUAACCUGCCCAUAAGAGGGGGGAUAACAUCCGGAAACGGGUGCUAAUACCGCAUAGUUUUCUUGAUCGCAUGAUCGGGAAAGGAAAGACGGCCUUUGUGCUGUCGCUUAUGGAUGGACCCGCGGCGUAUUAGUUAGUUGGUGAGGUAACGGCUCACCAAGACGAUGAUACGUAGCCGACCUGAGAGGGUGAUCGGCCACAUUGGGACUGAGACACGGCCCAAACUCCUACGGGAGGCAACAGUAGGGAAUCUUCCGCAAUGGACGAAAGUCUGACGGAGCAACGCCGCGUGAGUGAAAGAAGGUUUUCGGAUCGUAAAACUCUGUUGUCAGAGAAGAACAAGUUGGAGAGUAACUGCUCCAGCCUUGACGGUAUCUGACCAGAAAGCCACGGCUAACUACGUGCCAGCCGCCGC